rnacentral:snoRNA from 1 species
GCGGGUGUGAUGAUGAAACCAUGUGGACUAGAGUUUCUGAUCUGGGUUUAAUCCCCAGAAGUUGAAGACAAACCCUUGGCUGUCUGAGCACUCGA